UAGUGCUUCUUUAAGUACACUUCCUAACAGGAACUGGUAGCAAAAGCACUGAACUUGGAAUCCUACUCUGCCUCCUUCCCCUAGUUGGGGGCAAGUUCAUCUCUGAACCUUUGUUUCUUCUUCUGAAAAAUGAGGACCUGAUUUCACCUCCUUACUUCUCUCCUAGGGUUGCCGAAGAACCCAACGCUCGUGAGAAGUCUUUGUUCAAGGGAAGCCUUAUACAUGUGAGGAAGUAAAGUUAGGAGGCUGAUAAUUAUUAAUACAUGCACCCAAAUAAGAUGUGGGGAAAGAAGGAGCACUAUUUGGAAGUAUUAUGAGAAUACCUGUGUGAUUUGAGGCCAAUGUAUUGUGACCUGCAUGUUUUUCAUGGAACAGCAACCAUCCCUGAAAAUAUUCUGGAGGCCUGUCUGCUUCACUCACUCCACUGCAUGGAAUAAGGGAGGGAGAAAUAAGAGAAGGUAGAGAUGAAAGAGAAAACAAAGAGACAGAAAAGAAAACUGCAAUCUCUGAGAAAGGGAAAAGUUUAAGGUUGGGGUAAGUGUACCUCCGGUUGUAGGAAACAAAAACCACUAGAGGGCAAUGUUAACGCAGGGAAAUUUUCCCUAGUAACAAAGGGAACAACCCACAACUGGAUGGGCCAGGUCACACAGGAGCCAGUCCUGAUGGAGCUCAGUCAGAACUGUGAAUCCCCUGUUAGGUUUGGUAUGUCGCACCCCAGAUGACUGACAUAUAUAAGAGCCACAGCUGCCUAGUAUUCACAAAUGGUAAGAGUGAGUCAUUAUUUGUUAGAAUAAGGCUGCUUGAGAUUGUUAGCGUCUAUCACUAAGUUACAAUGUGUUUGAGUUCUCAUAAACAUGCUGGAAUGCCACACUUCUUCCUCCUCACAGCAGGGUCUAGAGUCUGUCUUCUUGCCUGUCAGGCUGUCUUGCAUCACUACACAAACUCUAAGACCCUCCCGGGCACCAUGUUUUUACUCCUUUCCAUCAAGCACACAUUGGAUUACAGUGUUUACCUGCUCAGAAGCCACCUGGUGCUCUUCAUUGCCUCCUAAAGAAAAUUCAAAACUUUCAGCCUGGUUCUAAAGGUUUAUUAUAAUCUGGUACCAACAAACUUUACCAGUGUCCCUCUUUGCCCUUUCAUCAACCUCCGUGGAGCAGCCAGGCUGGACUGUUCCCUAGUCUCUGAACAUAUCCUCUGCAUAGUUCUAUUGACUUGACUUGGCUCCGUCCAUUGGAAUCUUCCAUGAGAUGAAACCUUAAUUAUCUUUAAUGACAUUGUCACACAACAUUAUUCCCAUAGAAGCUUUCCUAAUUCUACUAGUCACAAAUUAUCAGAUGCUUGAGACUCGUCUGUGCUUUAUCUAUGCCUUUCACUUAUGGCAUUGAUCACAUUCUACCUUAUGUUAGAUUUGUUUAAUUUAUUUACUUAUUUAUUCUUUUGCUUAACAUAUAUUGGUUGUAUAUUUUAUAUCAGUUCCCAUGUGAAGGACUCAUAAAAGAUUAAGGCUUAAUUCUGGCUCUCCAGGAUCUAAGUGUCAAACUAGAGAAUGACAGAUAUAUAACACCACAUUAGUUUUGCGCAUGUUACGUGAUAACAAAGGCACAUCAAAGGAUUGAGGAAGCUAGAUUGGAGCCAUACUGGAAUGCCAAAAAAAAAAGAGAUAGAUAAGAAGACAGAGAGUGUAUCUUCAGAUAACUGCUCUAUCAAAUACUUAGCAUGUCAAUAAGUAUUGACUCUAUCCAGUAGAAAAUGCGGCAUUAUAAGGGAGUUUUUAAUUGGAGAGUGGGCCAAGGAUUUGUGAAUUGGGCCAAGGAUUCCAGAGGAGAUAAGAGGGGCAAUUACAAUACAUGUCUAUUUUCCCUACUAAAUGUGAAGUUGCUUGGGAGCAAGAAUUUUGUCUUACCAAAUUAUGCCCCCAUGUCAUCUGGAACAGGGCCUUUGUUAUUGAAAGUUUAUGCAUUUGCGGAGUUUCCAGAUUGGAAGAGACUUUAAGGAUUAUCUAGUCUUUGUUCUACAAAUGAGAAAGGGAAACUAUGAGAAAUGAAGUGGGUUUUUUUCAGUCAACCAGUUUCUUUUUCUUCUUUUUAAAAAAAUUAUUAUAUUUUAAAUUUCAGGAAAC
rnacentral:lncRNA from 1 species